rnacentral:rRNA from 1 species
UACGUAGGUGUCAAGCGUUGUCCGGAUUUAUUGGGCGUAAAGCGCCCGCAGGCGGCUUGCCAAGUUCGAUGUGAAAUCUCCCGGCUCAACUGGGAGGGUGCAUCGAAAACUGGCAGGCUUGAGGCAGGGAGAGGGAUGUGGAAUUCCAGGUGUAGUGGUGAAAUUCGUAGAUAUUCGGAAGAACACCAGUGGCGAAGGCGACUUACUGGACACAUAUUGACGCUGAGGUGCGAAAGCGUGGGGAGCAAACAGG